AAGCAGCGAGUUUCGUUCCUUUCUUCCUUUUUUUCCUUGGUUUAAGUAUCAGUUUCAUGGAUUUUUAUUCUCAGGCUCGCUGGUUUUGGAGGUGGGAGCGUUGUCCCCCUUAAAUGGCAAUCCACAGUUUGAGAGGAGUAUGCGCAGUACUAGUGAACUGAACUUACUGGGAACGAACCUUGACAUAACUGAAGAUUUGUUCGAUUGCAUAUUCUGGAACGCAGAGAGAGUUCAGUAGCUUUGGUUCUGAUCUCCAGCAUGGAUGUAAAGCGAAUUUGAGUCACUGAAGGCGGAAGUUUGCCAGCUGAGAAAGAAUCCAACAGCUCCAAAUUUCCCUUAGCUCCAAUCUAAACUCGCCUCAAGAAGUUCGUCUUUUGCUGAUAUCUAUUCUGACUUGAGCAUUGAGAACGUGUGUUUCAUUGUAGAUCAUUCCAACCAUGGUGGUGAAACCAUGGUUAUCAACGUUAAGGUGCUACUACUGCCACUGGAGUAAAAGUUUGUGCGAGCUUUUGUGUGAGUUCGUGCUCCUGGAUCUUUAUCUAUGGGAGAUGGCCCCCUUUGUUUGCUCAAUCUAUUCUCUUUUCUCUUGGCUCUCCAGAAAUUAUGGCUCCUACUCGAAAGCUUGUGCUUGCAUCGCUCCUCUCAUGCCUGGUCAUCACUGCGGCUUUUGCUGCUGCAGUUUUCUUUAGUUCUCUCUCCAAAAUCUCGA
rnacentral:lncRNA from 1 species